GCUCUGAUAGCUUAAUCUAAAGCACUGGUCUUGUAAACCAAAGACUGUAAUUUAACUAUUACUCAGAGCU
rnacentral:tRNA from 1 species